UCAUUCUUGCUUUGGAGUUGACCCCUUUGACUCUUAGCAGACAUGGAUUCAGGAAGGUCAAAUUAGCUUGUCUCUCUUUGAGAGGAAAUGGCGUUGAAGUAGUUCUGUGUGUCUGGUGUCAGAUGUGGAAGCCACAGAGCCUCUGUGAGACGUGGUCCUAUUGUGUUUAUUUACAAGUUUCCUUUUUUAAGGCGGUGGCCUGAGGGACCCUCACCAGUAGGGCAAGUAGCCAUGGUAGACAGUGGAAUGACAGGAAUUCUAGCCAUGGUGGUGCUGGUGGGUUUCCUUUCUUUUUGGGGGUGGGGGUGUGGCUGGUUAGGAUGAAUGCAUGUAAAGAAAAAAACCUGACAGACUUAAAAAGUGUUAUUUGUAAUCCUUUUCCUGCAAGCUCCCAUGCGCCUCUGUAGUAAGAGUGAUUUGUGUAGUAAGUGUCAAAUGAUGAAUACUGUCCUUUUCAAACAGGACCUUCAAAGAAGGGUCCCAGACAGGGAGGAAGGGGGACCGAGGAGAAAGACUGAGAAUGGGACAUAGGAAAUUAGGCUUGUGGAGGAAACACUGUGAACAUUACUUUGGUGUGAAGGAAGUGUCGUGCAGAGAGAGUGUGACCAAAGGGAGGUGUUGAAAUGUUAGCAGCUCCUACGGUCUACCGCCAAGAGGGGCACCCCUUUGACAGAACCGAGAUAGGUGUCUUUGUGUAGCUGUGACUUCAAAAAAAAAAAAAAAUGUGAGGAGUCUUGUAUCUGUGUCAAUGGCAGAGACACCUAAGUAGGGAAAACUGUUGGAGUGGGUAAAGUGAAAUCUCUUAGUGUGUCUUCCAACUGACUGUGGGUAAUUAGUUGGAAAUGACAUUAACCUGAGCUUAAUUGUAAUUUUGCACAGUAACAACAUACCAGCUGUUCACUGUAUUCUUUCCUGGUGGUGCGAUUUAAUUAUUUUUUGCUGUCUUUUAAGCUCUAAUUUUUUGGUUGUGUUUUCCUUUAACCCCUCCUUGCUGCCAUGUCCACAGACCCCAUGGCUUAGUAGUAGUGUCAUUUCUGCUGCUUUGGCACCCAUGCUGUGCCGAGGGCUUGGGAUGCUCUUGGUUUUGCGACUCAUGUUGGCUUUUUAAAAUUAGGCCACAUUGUAAAGUUACCAAGGUGAAUAUGGGUGAUUGCAAAUCUUGUGUUUUGGGCUCCUCCAAAAGGUUUUAGUUUAUGAUAUAAAUAAUAUGGAUAAUUCCAGGCCCAUGAAGGGUGCUCAAAAUAUCAAGUGAACAAGCCGAAAGAGAAGUUAAUUACUGAACAGCGAUUGCUCUGAUAUAACCAAUUAUUGGAUCAUUAAAUGUUUAUUACCUUUUAUAUGCUCUUUUCCCCCCAUAAGGGCAGUUUCUUUUUUUAAGUCAUUAAAACAGAAAUGGGAUUUAAAAAAAAUUCUGCUUAAAAAAUUUCCACAAGACUGAAGUAUUAAAAAGGUCUUGUGUGAUCUGACAGCUGAAUAGCCUGUUUUUCUUUGGUCUGUUGAAUUAGUAAUUAAUGAAAUGUAUUGCCUGAGCAGAGAAAAUAAGAUUAGUUUUGCUUAGAAAGAAAACAAAAGCAAAACAUUAACCCCUAAACGCAGGUUCAUAUUAAAAUGCAAUAUAAGAAGUAUAAAAAGAGUGGAACUCCUUGAAUGAUAAGAUCCUCAAUGGUUUAACACUCCUUUAAUUAAUUCAUUCAUCACUUUCUUGAGCGCCAGUGUUAGGUUUAGAAGGACUGGGGUUAUGUAAAUACAGAGGGCUCAAGGGGCCCCGUCCUCAUGGAGACUCUGGGUUAGCAGAGCAGUUAAACCACAUGCUUUAGUAACCAUUAUUGAAAUGUCAAAGCGCUGGUGUUAAUAGGCACAGGUACCUUGCCGUCGGGCAGGGGUGGUGGUUUUGAAGAGAGAAUUGACAUUUGGAGGCCGAGGUAGCCUGUGGAUUAAGAGCAGGGGGAGGGUGGUUGUGAGCAGAAAUCUCACUCUGGGAGGCGAUGGUGUCCUGUGAAUUAGCCUCAGGUUCACUGGAGCCCCAUUACUUGGGUUCAUAUCUCUGCUUUGCCACUUACCAGCCUCAUCUCCUUUGACCUCAGUUUCCUCAUCUGUAAAAUGGAAAAAUAGUACCGCAGGGUUGUUGUGGUGAUGUCAUUUUUGUGGGAGAACAAAACAGAAUUCUUAGGGGAAAUGGUAAUUUAAUUGGAUGCUGAGGAAAGGGGAAGAUGUUUGAGGCAUUUCUUGUAUUGUCAUGUGUAACCACAUACUUAAUUUAUAAAGCCUAGAGUAAUGUGUGCUUAUAUAGCAGCAUUGUCAAAAGAUUACAAAGGGCAUUUACAACCAUUUAUUCUCGGAACAGCCCUCUGAAGCAAAAAGACUGUUUAUGCACAUUCUGCUGAGGUGUGAAAGGCUGCAGAGAGCAGACACUGCCUUUGACUGUUCUUUAAUUGAGGUGUGCGUGGAGCCUGGGUUUAUGUGGGUACAUUAGGCCAGUUGAGAAAGGGAACUUUUUAAUUACUGUUUGUUUAAAAAAAAUUGUUUUUUUUUGAGGAACGACUGUGUUGUAAAUACAUGAUAAAGAUGUUUUCUGUAGUCUAUAGCAAUAGCGAAACUUGUUUAUUCCUCUAAGUACCAGACAGUUGAAUUUAGAGGGAGGUUAUAAUAGUGACGAUUGUAAUGAAUAUUUGCUGAGCACUUAAUGUGUUCCAGGCACUGUUACUUGUCACAACUCUGAGCUGGUUAUUCCUUUUAUUCCCAUUUUACGGAUGAGGAAGCUGAGGCACUGAGCUGUUCAGUCGUCUCCCUGAAGUCCUGUAGCAGUGUAGAUCUAGGGCCCAAGCUCUUACAUUUGCUUUAAGUUGUGUAAACCAUUUCAUUUUGUUUUGUGUGUUUUACAAUGGCUCAUUUGAGAAAAGUCUGUUUAACUCCAUUUAUAAGGAGAGGCGGACCUUUUUGAGAAGCUAAUGGGGCAUCAUGGUGAGCUUCGUUUGGACUGAAAAUUUGGAGGUGGUUAUUCAAUGCUUUUGCACUGUUCCAAGCAAGGCACUUUAGUUUUGGGCCUUGGGAUCUAUAAAAUGAGAAGAUGACAUUCUCUCUCAUGGUGUUAGAGUGUUAAACAGUGUUAGAGUUUGGAGGAAAAUUUGAGUGUGUACCACUCUUUGAGUCGUCCCAAUUCUUGUGUCGUUUGAACCCAGACUUAGGUGUGACUCUUGUGCCCUCUACUUAGAUGUGUCAGUUUAUCUCACUUGUCUGAACAUAUCUUAUUAUUUUGUAAGACGGCACUCUAGUUCUCUUCUGCUCAGUAAUGUAAUAACGUUGUCAGGUAAUAAUAUACCUAGCUCUCAAUCUCCAGUAUGUCAGUGGGAUUCUUAUUAGUUGGUAUAAAAUCAGGGGUCACAUAGGAAGCUGGGUCUGGACUGUUACUCCAGCCUUUUGACUCCCCUGGGUCUCGUUCUCUCCUGCAUACAUGCCAUGUUGCUGGGGGUGAGGAAAAUAUUAUCAUACUGAGAUGUGCCCUAACUUAAUAGAAACUACAGUCUUGGUUCUUUCUUGAGACUCAUCAGGUUGUCAUCUUUGAGGAAUGUCGUGACUCCAGUAAGGAAUUUCUUGUUUUCAUGACCUCUGGCCAUGGAUAGCAGACUGAGCAACACGAGGGCAGGGGGCCUGCUGUCUGAAGUUUAUGUUGGGCAGGGGGCUAGGAUACCUGGCACACAGGCCAGGGUCCAGCACCAUUUUUUAUAUGGAGGAAGGAAGGAAAUGAACAGUCUCAUUGAUCUGUAGAAAAUAGGAAUGAGAAGGGGACCAGGAUUUAAAAAUUUUACUUCUGUAGGAAAGAGGAAAUUGAGGCACCUGAUUGCUCGGGCAGGUUAAGCCUAGUCUCCUAAUCACCCAGUGAACAAUAAUAAGUCAUACCCUUGAAGGUGUUGCAUGGCAGUGCCCUUCUGUUGAAAGCUAUUUU
rnacentral:lncRNA from 1 species